rnacentral:rRNA from 1 species
UACGUAGGAUGCAAGCGUUAUCCGGAAUCACUGGGCGUAAAGCGUUCGUAGGGGGGAAUGAAAGUCUUCUAUUAAAUCCCGAUGCUCAACAUCGGUUCGGUAGGGGAAACUUCAUUUCUAGAGGAUGGGAGAGGCUAGUGGAAUUCUCGGUGUAGGGGUAAAAUCCGUAGAUAUCGAGAGGAACACCAAAAGCGAAGGCAGCUAGCUGGAACAUUCCUGACCCUCAAGAACGAAAGCGUGGGGAGCGAAAAGG